GUUGAAAUGUGGCCAUGCGCAAUAUCGUCUUUUGGACACCAUGGUUUCAUGCGUUGUUAGUCGUGCUCUUUGGGCAUUUAAAUCUUUCAGACCAGGUCAGGUCGGUCGGGAUACAUUGGAUUUGAACGGAUUGUCUCAACGUAUAUCAAAAUCAGGUUUAUCAAUGGAACAAGCUGUUACAGAGGGUACAUGUCAUUUGAACCACAUACACACAUACAGAGUGUGUGUGGAAGGAAACAUAGGAAGUGGUAAGACAACUCUUUUAAAUCACUUCUUGAAUAAUAAAGACACAGAGGUCAUUCAAGAGCCUGUUAGUAUGUGGAGAAAUGUCAGGGGAUUCAACGUGCUUGAUCAUUUGUAUCGUGAUCCUAGCAGAUGGGGUAUGGCUCUACAGACAUAUGUACAACUUACAAUGUUGAAGAUCCACACAAAACCACAGGUUCAACCAGUCCGAAUGAUGGAGAGAUCACUCCAUAGUGCCAGAUAUUGUUUUGUGGAAAAUCUUCGAAACAGUGGUAACAUGCCAGAGAUGGAGUAUGUCAUUUUGGAUGAAUGGUACCGUUGGAUUACACAGGCGCACAAUGUGCAUGUUGAUCUGUUUGGAGAUAAGUUUCAAGUCCAGUGCCAUUUAUGUGCUUGUCACCAAGUGAUGACUGGUUGUCCUGAGUUCUCGGGCACUCGGUUCUUUCUCAGUACAUGACACCUGUUUACAGGGCUAUCUUUGUCGCCAUAAGAUAGCAUCUGCUGGCUGGUAUAUCUUUAUACGACUCCAGAGACCUGUUAUGAGAGAAUAAAGAAACGUUGUCGCAGUGAAGAAAUUGGGAUAUCAAUGGACUUGCUACAGAAUCUUCACAUAUUGCAUGAAGAUUGGUUAAAGCACCAAAAAUUUCCUGU
rnacentral:misc_RNA from 1 species